rnacentral:tRNA from 1 species
UUCAAAAAGGCUCAGAUGGUAAAGCAUCUGCCUGCAGUGCAGGAGACCUGGGUUCGAUCCCUGGGUUGGGAA